AGAGAUUGCAGUUCUCUUGAGCUGUUGCUGGUCAUCAGAAAGGUGUAUUGGAGGCCAUCACCUUUGGCUCGGACCCCUUCUGUUGUGAGGAUGCUGUGAGUUGGCUGGAGGAUAGGGUGGCUCUCAACAUGGAGCUGGGAUGCAGCCAACUGGGAAACUAGGAGUGCUUCUGGAUGCCCAGCCUAGAAAAACCUGCAAUGAGGAAGAAAAUGGAGGAACUGGGGGGGAACCUCUUUAAGGAGCAAGAAGUGGUGGUGAUCAAAUACCUGCUGUUGGAUGUAAGAGUAACACAGCAAGUGUGCAACCUAUAACUCAGCAAGAGCUGGCUGAGGAACAACGAUCUGACUUGCUACAGCCUUUAAGGUUUUGAAAUUCCCUGUUGGAAGAAGAUCAAACUUUCCGCUGUCUGUGAAGCAGAGCUGUUGAGACAUCCAUUUUCAUAUUCUCAAGGUCAAGCAUUUCUUAAGAUUUUUCUCUAUAGCAUCAGUUAAGACCUCAGAAACCUACCCUAACUAAAUUCAUUCAUGUGGCACUUACCUUGGAUAUCUUCAGCAACCAGAGAAAGCAGCUCUUUAAAAUGUAUGGAGACAGCCACCAGAUCAUGGCAAUAUGCAAAAAGCGUGGUGUUGUAACAGAAUUAUGAAGUGGCCUCUGGGACAGUGGUGAGUUGGGAAUCAGUCUCUUGAAAACUGAUUUUCCCUUUGUGUCCUCUGCAAAACCAGCUGAUCUCUCCUGCACCGUCCUCACCAAGAUGCAGCAAGCGGUGCUUGAUUUGCUGUGAGGAAAUGGGGCCAGUGUGCCCAGGCGGAUGCAAACUGUGGUCUGCGUUGUGUCAGCGUGGUCCUGGGGCAUUGUAUGCAAAGACGUGUGAAUCUCAGUCUUCCUCGCUGCUAGUGCUCCCAAAUGCACAGUGCAAACCCACAUGUGAAGUGUGGUAAAAAAUACCAACAAUAGAACUGUAAACAUUAGUGAGCACUGCUUGGUUUGUAGGAGUUAGGGAUUGACUCCCCUGUGUUAAUUGACACCCCCUGGGUUAAUCACUCAUUUACUGGAAUGAAUGAUCACCAUUCAGUGCAGCAUGUGCUGUGAAAAGAGUAACAAAAAAGACAAAUAUCUAAAACCUAUUGUUAUGCUAAGGUAGAUAAGCAUGCAAAUAAACCAUCACAGAUU